rnacentral:sRNA from 1 species
CGCUAGCCCUGAUGGUAGUGGGAUUCUUUUUAUAAGGUGAUUUUUCUUCACCUUAUAAAAAGAUAUAACGGACAGCAGGAACUUUG